GGCUGGCGCUCUUAGCUGCUAUGUGCAAGACGUGUGUCCCAGGGAAAGCCCCUCUCUCUCUGCAGAGGUCAAGUGAAAGCCACGGCCGCAGCCAACAGAGUUCAAAAUGCAGGCUUGGAAAGUCCAGGGGGCUCUGUGGAGGAGAUUAGUCCUGAGAGACUGACACCAGAGCCACCUGACGAAUGUGGGUGCUCAGAGCCUUGGACUCGAUGACCUACCUCUCCUGCCUCCCACCUGACUCCUGAAGUAGGGGAGUGUAUUAACAGUCACAGGCCUCAGUUUACCUGCUUUCAGCCUCUGCCCUUCCCGAGAGGGUUGAAGCUGACUUGCUGCAUCGCAGUUUUGUCCUUUAGUUCAUCAGCUCUGGAACUUUCC
rnacentral:lncRNA from 1 species